rnacentral:rRNA from 1 species
GACGAACGCUGGCGGCGUGCUUAACACAUGCAAGUCGAACGGAAAGGCCCUGCUUUUGUGGGGUGCUCGAGUGGCGAACGGGUGAGUAACACGCGAGUAACCUACCCUUGACUUUGGGAUAACUUCAGGAAACUGGGGCUAAUACCGGAUAGGAGCUCCUGCUGCAUGGUGGGGGUUGGAAAGUUUCGGCGGUUGGGGAUGGACUCGCGGCUUAUCAGCUUGUUGGUGGGGUAGUGGCUUACCAAGGCUUUGACGGGUAGCCGGCCUGAGAGGGUGACCGGCCACAUUGGGACUGAGAUACGGCCCAGACUCCUACGGGAGGCAGCAGUGGGGAAUAUUGCACAAUGGGCGGAAGCCUGAUGCAGCAACGCCGCGUGCGGGAUGACGGCCUUCGGGUUGUAAACCGCUUUCGCCUGUGACGAAGCGUGAGUGACGGUAAUGGGUAAAGAAGCACCGGCUAACUACGUG